CCUCCAAGGCUAAAUACUCCUGACUGACCGAUAGUGAACCAGUACCGUGAGGGAAAGGCGAAAAGAACCCCGGCGAGGGGAGUGAAAAAGAACCUGAAACCGUGUACGUACAAGCAGUGGGAGCACAGGUUUACCUGUGUGACUGCGUACCUUUUGUAUAAUGGGUCAGCGACUUAUAUUCUGUAGCAAGGUUAACCGAAUAGGGGAGCCGGAGGGAAACCGAGUCUUAAUUGGGCGUUAAGUUGCAGGGUAUAGACCCGAAACCCGGUGAUCUAGCCAUGGGCAGGUUGAAGGUUGGGUAACACUAACUGGAGGACCGAACCGACUAAUGUUGAAAAAUUAGCGGAUGACCUGUGGCUGGGGGUGAAAGGCCAAUCAAACCGGGAGAUAGCUGGUUCUCCCCGAAAGCUAUUUAGGUAGCGCCUCGUGAAUUCAUCUCCGGGGGUAGAGCACUGUUUCGGCUAGGGGGCCAUCCCGGCUUACCAACCCGAUGCAAACUGCGAAUACCGGAGAAUGUUAUCACGGGAGACACACGGCGGGUGCUAACGUCCGUCGUGAAGAGGGAAACAACCCAGACCGCCAGCUAAGGUCCCAAAGUCAUGGUUAAGUGGGAAACGAUGUGGGAAGGCCCAGACAGCCAGGAUGUUGGCUUAGAAGCAGCCAUCAUUUAAAGAAAGCGUAAUAGCUCACUGGUCGAGUCGGCCUGCGCGGAAGAUGUAACGGGGCUAAACCAUG
rnacentral:rRNA from 1 species